CNCUUAGAACAGAUGCCUCAGUAUCAACCUU
rnacentral:piRNA from 1 species